GCCCUAGUAACGGCGAGUGAAGCGGCAACAGCUCAAAUUUGAAAUCUGGCCUUCGGGUCCGAGUUGUAAUUUGCAGAGGAUGCUUUUGGUGAGGUGCCUUCCGAGUUCCCUGGAACGGGACGCCUUAGAGGGUGAGAGCCCCGUACGGUUGGACACCGAACCUCUGUAAAGCUCCUUCGACGAGUCGAGUAGUUUGGGAAUGCUGCUCUAAAUGGGAGGUAAAUUUCUUCUAAAGCUAAAUAUUGGCCAGAGACCGAUAGCGCACAAGUAGAGUGAUCGAAAGAUGAAAAGCACUUUGAAAAGAGGGUUAAACAGCACGUGAAAUUGUUGAAAGGGAAGCGUUUGCGACCAGACUUUUUCCUAGCGGAUCAUCCGGUGGUUUCCACCGGUGCACUUCGCGAGGAUUAGGCCAGCAUCGGCUUCUGUAGGGGGAUAAAAACAGUGGGAACGUGGCUCCCCCGGGAGUGUUAUAGCCCUCUGUAUAAUACCCUUAUAGGGGCCGAGGACCGCGCCUUCGGGCAAGGAUGCUGGCGUAAUGGUCGCCAACGACCCGUCUUGAAACACGGACCAAGGAGUCGAACAUUGAUGCGAGUGUUAGGGUGUUAAACCCCUGCGCGAAAUGAAAGUGAACGUAGGUGAGAGCCCUUUACGGGGUGCAUCAUCGACCGAUCUUGAUGUCUUCGGAUGGAUUUGAGUAAGAGCAUCACUGUUCGGACCCGAAAGAUGGUGAACUAUGCGUGGAUAGGGUGAAGCCAGAGGAAACUCUGGUGGAGGCUCGCAGCGGUUCUGACGUGCAAAUCGAUCGUCAAAUCUGCGCAUGGGGGCGAAAGACUUAUCGA
rnacentral:rRNA from 1 species